CUGCAGCUAAUCAGGCCUCUUUUCUCUGUGGAGGCCUGGUGUGCAAUGGCUGCAAAAAGCAGCCACACACCAUUGUAAAGCAAUU
rnacentral:snoRNA from 1 species